AAGUCGUAACAAGGUUUCCGUAGGUGAACCUGCGGAAGGAUCAUUAACAAAUCAUCCAUAGUGCUACGAAAGUAGCACUAUAUACACCCCGAGCCUGGGAAGAGCAGCGAUGCUUGGAACGGCUUUGGUAGGCUGCGCCGCAAGGCGUUGGCCACAUAGACGCUUGCUUGGUUUGACAGAGUUACAGUUGCAUCUAAACGAAUACAACUUUUAACAAUGGAUCUCUUGGCUCUUGCAACGGUGAAGAACGCAGUGAAAUGCGAAACGUAAUGCGAUUUGCACGAAUCUGUGAGUCAUCAAGUCUUUGAACGCACCUUGCACCAUAUGAGCAAUCGUAUGGUAUACCUGUUUGAGAAUCGUAAAAACCUCUCCUACCUAGUAGGGAAGUGUCGGUUGGGCCUCACGGCCCUCUGAUCAAAAGUAGUAGGUCUGGACAGGCUGGUGGUCUGGGACAUUGUGUGCUAGAGACUUUGCCUCGGCAAACCGUCUUCUCACGAUGCGUCCUAGGCUAUCCAAGCCGGUCUGUCUCCACGACCUCACAGUACUCGCGAGAGUACAACCCCCCUUUUUGAUCUCAAAUCAGGUAAGGCUACCCGCUGAACUUAA
rnacentral:rRNA from 1 species